rnacentral:lncRNA from 1 species
CCCCACCACAAGCAGAGAUCUCGUGCUCCACAGCAACAGAUCGCCUUCCAGAACCUUCUCACCGCCGCCGCCACCACCACCACCGCCCGUCGAAGCCGAAGCAAUGGCCGGAGUCGGAUCGAAGACCCUCGCCGUGCUCGCCGUCCUGGCGGCCGCCGCCCUCUCCGUGUCCGCCGCGACCGAGGCUCCGGCGCCCAGCCCCGUCUCCGCCGCCGGCGCCGCGGCCCCGCCCCUCGCCGCCGCCCUCGUCGCCUCCGCCGCCGCAUUCCUCUUCGCCGCCGUCCGCCACUGAGCUCCGCGCUCGGCGCCGAGGAUGGGGUUCGGAGGACGCCUGCCUACCUAGCAGUACUGCCACCACCAUCGCCUAGAUCUAUUUUAUUAUCAUUCAGCAGCAGCAGUAGAAGUAGAGAUGGAUUUUCUUCGUUGGUCGUGUCGUGGCAUUUUGGUCGGAUCUGGUUGAUGAUGGAUGAGUUCCUACCGGUGUCGUGGUGUGCUGGGUUGUGUGAUCCCUUGUAGAUACUCUGCUAUCUCGUCGUGAGUUGAUGAUGGUUCAGUCUGGUUGCUACUGAUGUAUUGUUAUCCGUCCCAUUUGUUGAGAUGAUGGUGCGUUGCUGCUAAUCUUUAAUUUUGUGUGCUUGAUUUUACUCUGCGUUUCUCUGAAAUGAUGAUUCGAUCGGCGAGGAAUUUUAAGUUGCUAUUGAUCCGUGACGCGUGAGAUUCGAUUCUGUGUUACCUCGGAGCGCCUGCGUCGCCGCGACGCAGAGGUUUCCGCUGAUUCUCCGCGAUCUGAAGAAUUAAACUUGUGGUCAGGUGUGCGUCCGUCGACCGAUCUGCUUAUUUUAUUCCCUUCUGGAAGAAGAAUCUACUUUGGGGCAUGUGUAGUUUAAUGCUCCUCCCCCAUGGAUCAUUUAUGAAGUCGCGAAAUCAAUGAAAUCCAUUAGCUCCUCUGCCGCUCAGCGUAGUGCUCGCAAUAUUCGUGAAGAAUCCAAAGCAGAAACGCGUGAUCUUAUAAAUUGAAAGAACGCAACAAGCAGCAGUAAUCGACAUCUCCCGAAUCCCGAUGAGAGACUGCGGAAUAAACAUAGACCGCAUGAUGACUGGAUGUACCCUCGCGGCUGGCACUGCGGAGGUCGGAGCACAUGAGCGCUGUUCAAAGGCAUGGAGCCAUAUGGGGCAGGCCGGCAGGGGCAUGGGCUUCUUUCUUUUUGCUGCAGCUGCACUGACCGGUCGUUUGGACGGUCUGGCUGAGCUUGACCGGAGACCUGCAGGCGGCCAGGCAGGCACGUUCCUUCCUGC